UACAGAGGUCUCGAGCGUUAGGCGGAAUCACUGGGCUUAAAGCGUGUGUAGGUGGCUCGUUAAGUACCUUGUGAAAUCCCACGGCUUAACCGUGGAACUGCUUGGUAUACUGGCGGUCUUGAGCCAGCUAGGGGCUACCGGAACAAAUGGUGGAGCGGUGAAAUGCGUAGAUAUCGUAAGGAAGACCAGUGGCGAAGGCGGGUCUCUGGACAGUUCCUGACGCUGAGGCACGAAGGCCAGGGGAGCAAACGGG
rnacentral:rRNA from 1 species